GACGGAGGAGGCAAGCGUUAUCCGGAAUUAUUGGGCGUAAAGCGUCCGUAGGUGGCACUUCAAGUCUGCGGUCAAAGACCGGGGCUUAACCCUGGAAAGGCCGUGGAAACUGAAGUGCUAGAGUGCAGUAGGGGUAGAGGGAAUUCCCGGUGUAGCGGUGAAAUGCGUAGAGUAUCGGAUAAGGAGACCGGUAGGCGAAGGCUAGUGCUCGUG
rnacentral:rRNA from 1 species